rnacentral:lncRNA from 1 species
CAGUGUUACCGCUGCGUGUGUCCCGUCCCACUGUGGCCUACGCUCAGACCCUCUGUGCACUGCUGCUUGCUGGAGAAGACUGGACACCAGCCGUUACCCUUGCCCCCCCCAUUCCCCUGGCGACUCUUGCUGCCUUAACUGGUGUUGUCAUUUUGCAGUCUUUAGCUUCACAGGAAUGCCAUCUGCGUGAAGCUGCUGUGGACUGGGGAACUCUGCCCUGGUUGUGCAGAUCUCAGACAUGGUUGCAUUGCCUGCUGGUUGUUCCAGAGAAGCAUGGCUGAUCCUGAACUGUCCUGGGAAAGACCUUGGCAUUUUCGCUGCUAUUGUAGCAGCCAUUACUGCUGCAGCCAUUGUGUCUGCAGUGUCUGGAGUUACCCUCCCCC